rnacentral:rRNA from 1 species
CCAAUAGCGUAUAUUAAAGUUGUUGCAGUUAAAAAGCUCGUAGUUGAAUUUUAGGCCUGGCCGGACGGUCCGUCUCUGGCGAGUACUGUUCUGUCGUCGGGUCUAUCCUUCUGGUAAGCCGGUAUGUUCUUAAUUGGGUGUGUCGGGGAGCCAGGACCAUUACCUUGAAAAAAUUAGAGUGUUUAAAGCAGGCUUUUGCUUGAAUAGAUUAGCAUGGAAUAAUAGAAUAGGACGUUGUGGUUCUAUUUUGUUGGUUCAAGGACCACCGUAAUGAUUAAUAGGGAUAGUUGGGGGCAUUAGUAUUCAAUUGUCAGAGGUGAAAUUCUUGGAUUUAUUGAAGACUAACUAUUGCGAAAGCAUUUGCCAAGGAUGUUUUCAUUAAUCAAGAACGAAAGUUAGGGGAUCGAAGACGAUCAGAUACCGUCGUAGUCUUAACCAUAAACUAUGCCGACUAGGAAUCGGGCGACGUUAUUUUCACGACUCGCUCGGCGCCUUAUG